rnacentral:ncRNA from 2 species
CGUCGAAGAAGAGGUCGCAAAAACCAUCAGUAACUGGAUCGAGUUGAUAAAGCAACGGUGAGAUGCAGUGAAAGGGGAAUUUGCCGAAGCGAGCCAAACUUUAUUUUGGUAAAGCUGGGUCCUAGUUUAAGAGACUAGGAACUGUCGUGGUCAAAAACUACGGAGCGCUAUCGAGAUG